ACGUGUGUGGUGUGGUGGUAACGCUGCAUUCUUGUAAGCAGGGGGCGAGAGUUCGAAUCCCUCUGGACGGA